ACAUUAUUGAUUGCUUCUCUUCUCAUCGACCAUUUUCUCUUCUUCAUCAUCAUUCACUCAUCACACAGCAUCCAAUUUAUCUGUUUAAUCUUUGUAUGUAAUGUGUCUGUAGACGGAAAUGUUCAAAAAUCUUCUCAAUUCCCCCACUUUUUCGGCUUCUUACCAUCUUUAUUAGGGCUUAAAUUACUUUUUUCCACAAAGGGGUUGAGCUAUUCAAUACGUUUAACGGUUAUUUAGGGGAAAACCCAUCUGGGUUUUGGAUUUUGAUUGGAAUUGUAAACAAAUUCUUGAUUAAUUAGGGAAAACCCAUCUGGGUUUUUUUGGAUUUUUAUAAUUUGGAAUUGGAUUGCUGAUUUUGUGUGGUGAUGACUUUUACUGGGAACGAUGAAGAGGAAGGGUUAGUGGUGGUGAUGCCAGCGCCGUUGUUGGGGUUGGCGAAGGAAGAUCUGAAGGGUGAUUAUGUGAAAUUAGGUGGUGGUGAUGAUUUGGGGGAGGAUAAUCGUUUUGUUGCGGGUUGUAUGAGUGCUUCGUCUUCUGAGCUUAGCUAUGAAGGGAAUAGCAGAUGUUGGUCUCUUUGGUGGUGGGCUAAGCUGGUACUUGUUCUUAUUUUUGUGGGAGUAUUGGCUGCUGUGUUUCUCAAAUGGGUUGGACCCUUCUUCAUGGAUAAGGAGAUUAUUCCAAUACUGAAUUGGGAAACCAGGACAUUCAGUACUCCAGUACUAGCAGUUCUAGUUUAUGCUUCUGUGGCACUAUUCCCCACCCUGCUUUUACCGUCCACUCCCUCCAUGUGGGUAGCUGGGAUGACGUUCGGAUAUGGUUUUGGUUUUCUACUAAUCAUUGCAGCAGUUCCUAUCGGUGUAUCUCUUCCUUAUUUCAUAGGUCAUCUUUUCCAUCACAAAAUCCAAAGCUUGAUAGAAAGAAAUCCCAAGAAUGCUUCUGUUAUAAGACUAGCUGGUGAAGGGAAUUGGUUUAAUCAGGCCCGAGCUGUCACAUUAAUCAGGAUUUCCCCUUUCCCGUACAUAGUCUUUAAUUACUGUGCAAUGGCAACCGGUGUCAAGUACGGUCCUUAUUUGCUGGGGACACUCAUUGGCAUGGUUCCAGAAAUAUUUGUUACAAUUUACACGUAAGAAUUCUCUUUCGUUUCUUGUGUAUGAAAAUUAACUUGCUGUGUGUAUUUCUUGUGACAGCAAUAUCUGUUGAUGAAUUACCUAUUAGGGGUGGGCAGUUCCUGCUCUCCAUUCCUCUAUGUCUGCAUCCCUCCCUCUCCUCAAACCUCUGGUUUCUAAAGAUUAUAAUGCAACCUUUGUGGGAUUACACUCUACCCUCCUCCAGCCGCACUUGCACUGUGUAUGUUGUUGUUGUUGUGGGUGCACUAAAAAAGAUAAGGGAUAAUAAUCUACUUCUCAGUGAGUAAAAAUCUUCUCUAUUCCAUCAAAAGCUAUCAUAUUUCUCCCCAUGGUCCACUUAAGUGCCAUGAGAGCAACAUCCCACAUCCUACAGAUUUCUUCCAUCUUUUAAUUAACCAUCUGAACAUGGCUUCUUUAACCGUGCCUGGCAUUAUGACUCGACCAAACCCUAACAGUGUUUCCAUCAGAAGCGAGACACUAUCCAGCAAUCUAGAAGUAGGUGGUUCAUAUCUUCUCCCGAGCUUUUAAACCUGAUGCACCAACUGACGUGUAAUCUUCCUCUUUUUCAAAUUCUCAGCCGUUAAUAUCAUCUUCUCACAACUAGCCGAUUCGGAAAGGGAUAAUAUGUAUGUGGGUAUAAAGGUUAAUUGUUCUUCUCCAAGUUAUGUUAUGAUCCUGGUUAAUGUUUGAUUUUUUUUGAAGUACAAAAGCAAUUUGGUUAAUGUUUCAGCAUAACUUUGUUCAAUGCUGGUGGAAAAGUUCUUUAGCUCUCCUUUCCUCUUUUCCCCUUGCCAUGCUUCUGGUUGCCUAUAAUUUUGAACUUAGAUGCACAACCUGACAUUUUUUUCCGAACUUAGUUAAAUAUGCUCUCUAUAAGUGAAGGUCAUUGCAGGAUAUUUGAGAAACCUUAUUCUCAAAUGCAGAAAAAGCUAUUUUUUAUUGCUUCCUUGUCCUAUUAUAUUAUCUCUGUUUUGGGGGGACUCAGUAUUGUGCAAUGCUACACUAAGAUUUCAUUCUUUCAGCUAAGUAACUGUCAUGCUCUUGCUGUUGUAUUUCUCUGACACAGAAUUAACUAAUUGUGGACAAUAUUUAAACUUUUAUGUAUCAAACAUGAACAAAAUAGUUAUAUCUCAAGAAAAGUUAUUGUGGAAUUCAACUUGAUAGUAAAAUAUAGUAUAGUAAUAAGAUUUGUGCUUCGUGGCCGAAGCUAAAGUUUAUACGUUUAAUUUAAACACUUGAUAGUGUUUUCAAAACCCAUAAAACUCUUCACCAAUAGUUAUAUGAAAGGAGUCGAGGACUCGCAUUAACAAUAAUGGUUCUUCAUUUCAACUAUUAUAUUUGCACUAGUUACAUACUUAAAGUAGGAAGGCAAAGAAGUAACUUGUGACUCGGAAUCAUUUGGCUUACCUAUUCUAUUAAAUAACGAAGAAUUUCUGCUUUUACUUGUUAAUUUCUUUCAAGAUAAUUGUAGUCCACGAUUACGUGCUUUUAGGAAGAAAAAGAACAGCAAUCGAUUUGUGUCUUCUUCUGAUUUUUCUUAUUUAUGGUUGUUGAUUCUAUUUCCAUAAAUUGCACAAGUUUUAUUGCCUUCAAUGUUUAGUACUCUGCUUGUCUGUGAUUAUUUGGGUUUUGGUUCCUUUUGCACUGUUGUUUUGGAGGACCGUUGUGGCAGGAGUGCCAUUGGAUCGGAAGGGUUCCAUGGUUCAUUCUCCGGGGAGAAUGCAAACUGAACACAAAGCAAGCUUUUUCCUAGUGUUAGGAGGGUUUCAUUUGGUGUAUGCUGCCUGCCAGAUUCUGACAGAUGUUUACUUUUCAUUAUUAAAACUUCCUCUCGUCUGGUUUUAUUCUAUUAAAAUAGUGUCCUGUUUACUGAUUAAGAAAACUUCAACUUGCUGAAUACCUUUACUUCCAACUUUCUCUGCAGUGGCAUCCUGAUAAAGACUCUUGCAAAUGCCUCGCAAGAGCAACGUUUUUUAUCAGCUCCACAGAUCAUUCUUAAUGUUCUUGGAUUUAGUUUCACGUUUGUUACAACGGUGCUGAUCACUGUAUAUGCAAAAAGGCGGCUCAAGGAACUACAGAGAGAUGAGGAGCUGUUGCUACAGUGAGUUUCUGCUUUGUUAUUUGUGUCUGGACAGGUGAAAGAAACGAAGUAAAGGGAUCUCAGAGAUUCUUUAAUGACCGAGAAGGUCAUUUGCAUCCAUCGAGAAUCUUUAUCGCUGUAUAGGAUAUUAUCUGCACAUCACCUUAUAGCGGAGAUCAAUCGACAAUCAUUUGUCACUUUGGUUUUAUUUACUGCACAGAUCGCGCACCACUGCAAGGAUGGUUCAAAAGCAGGAGACGAACAUACCUGACAUACACAGA